AUUGAACGCUGGCGGCAGGCCUAACACAUGCAAGUCGAACGGAGUGGCGGACGGGUGAGUAAAGUCUGGGAAACUGACCGAGGGAAGGGGAUAACUACUGUAAACGAUAGCUAAUACCGCAUACUAUCAGCUGAGCCUAGGUCGGAUGAGCUAGUUGGUGGGGUAAAGGUCUACCAAGGCGACGAUCCGUACCUGGUCUGAGAGGAUGAUCAGGCACAGUGGAACUGAGACACGGUCCAGACUCCUACGGGAGGCAGCAGUGGGGAAUAUUGGACAAUGGGCGAAAGCCUGAUCCAGCCAUGCCGCGUGUGUGAAGAAGGUCUUCGGAUUGUAAAGCACUUUAAGUUGGGAGGCGUUACCAACAGAAUAAGCACCGGCUAACUUCGUGCCAGCCGCCGCGGUAAUUC
rnacentral:rRNA from 1 species